rnacentral:rRNA from 1 species
UCGAACGCGUGCCUUCGGGCACGAGUGGCGAACGGGUGAGUAACACGUGGGUCACGUACCCUGAGGUGGGGGAUAACCCGAGGAAACUCGGGCUAAUACCGCAUAUGGCUACGGCUAAAAGCCUUCGGGCGCCUUUGGAACGGCCCGCGGCCGAUUAUUUAAUCCUAGUUGGUGAGGUAACGGCUCACCAAGGGUACGAUCGGUAGCUGGUCUGAGAGGACGAUCAGCCACACUGGGACUGAGACACGGCCCAGACUCCUACGGGAGGCAGCAGUGGGGAAUAUUGGACAAUGGGCGAAAGCCUGAUCCAGCCAUGCCGCGUGGGUGAAGAAGGCCUUCGGGUUGUAAAGCCCUGUCGGGAGGGAAGAAAAAAAUGACGGUACCUCGCAAGAAAGCACCGGCUAACUCCGUGCCAGCAGCCGCGGUAAUACGGAGGGUGCAAGCGUUG